rnacentral:misc_RNA from 1 species
AUUUCGACUUGAUCUGGUCGUAAAACAACGCCGUAUCGUUCUGAUGAUGAUGAGUCGUACCACGCUGCAUCGUGUAGUCCAAAAACCCCUGCAAAAGCUCGAUCUCAUCCUCAUCGGUCCAAAGGCGUUGAAACAACUUCCUGGACUCAUCCAAGGGCUUCUUCUCCCCCUGCAAGGUCAAAGGCUCGGCGGUGGCGGUCUCGAGGCGCUGGCGUAUCAGAUCGGCAGAGGAGAUUGAAACAAUCGAAGGAGGAGGAACAACGGAGACGGCAGGAGUGGCGACGGUGACGGUAGCGGAGACGGAAGGGACAGGAACGGCGCCGGCGGAGGAAGUGGAAGGAGAAGGAUCGUCGUUCAAUUCCUCCUCCUCUUCGUCGUCGUCUUCGUCGUCGAGGGAUUCCUCGUCGUCCUCGAGGUCUUCGUCGGGGAAAACGGCGUCG